rnacentral:rRNA from 1 species
UACGGGGGGGAGCAAGCGUUGUUCGGAUUUACUGGCGUAAAGGGCGCGUAGGCGGUCAGCACAAGUCAGUUGUGAAAUCUCCGGGCUUAACUCGGAAAGGUCAACUGAUACUGUGCGACUAGAGUGCGGAAGGGGCAACUGGAAUUCUCGGUGUAGCGGUGAAAUGCGUAGAUAUCGAGAGGAACACCUGCGGCGAAGGCGGGUUGCUGGGCCGACACUGACGCUGAUGCGCGAAAGCCAGGGGAGCGAACGGG